rnacentral:tRNA from 1 species
GGGAAGAUGGCUCAGUGCUAGAGUGCUUGCCUUGCAUGCAGGAGGCCCUGGGUUCAAUUCCUCAGUACCACCU